rnacentral:lncRNA from 1 species
AUUAUUUAUAGUGAGAAGGAGAUGAAAAGCAAGAACGAUAGGAUAGAAUACGACGUGAGGAAGAAGAGGGUCAUAGGGUCGUAAGAGUCAAGAAUCAUUGCCAAUCGAACGAUCGGUGGAGUAAAAGGGGAUGAAAGACUGGAAAUUAGGUUUGGGGGAAACGCUAGAGGAAAACCUACCGUGAAGUCUUCUACCUCAGCGUAAGGUCACAGCUUGGCAGCCAAGCUUCACCACGAUAUCGUUGGUCGAUUUGUAACGGGGAAGGCCUGACGUCGCCGAAGGAGAAGUGACCAAAGGCGAAGCAAGGUGAAUCGUCCAAUGUUUCAGAGCUAAGAGAGAUGCGAGAGUGUUUUCGUUCUUGAAAAAAGCCCUAGCUAAAAUGGUCACAACGAUUUUGUGGAAUUUAGUAUUUGGUGAUGUUUUAGGAUUUUGUUGUGCAAGAAAAUAGGAUUGGUUAUGAUAUUAGGGUUUUUUGGGUAUUGAUCAGUGAGGAGAGGGAAGAACAAUGGAAAUAAUGUAGAGGAUGA